UACGAAGGGAGCUAGCGUUGUUCGGAAUCACUGGGCGUAAAGCGCACGUAGGCGGAUGUGUCAGUCAGGGGUGAAAUCCCGGAGCUCAACUUCGGAACUGCCUUUGAUACAGCACGUCUUGAGUCCGGAAGAGGUGGGUGGAAUUCCUAGUGUAGAGGUGAAAUUCGUAGAUAUUAGGAAGAACACCGGUAGCGAAGGCGGCCCACUGGUCCGGUACUGACGCUGAGGUGCGAAAGCGUGGGGAGCAAACAGG
rnacentral:rRNA from 1 species